rnacentral:lncRNA from 1 species
CUGCGCUGCCCGAGAUCGCUGCCGGCCUCUGCUUUGAUUUCGUGUUUUUCAUGUGUACAAACGAAGGAAAACCCAUCAAUAUCCUGUUAAAACAUCAAAGCCAUGCCCUAUCCCUCGACAUACGAAUAUUUCAAGUACAAAAACUUGCAAAUCUUAGUACACCAGACGAUAAAUAUCACUGUUGUGUGUUUAAAGUAAAUCUAAAAAACAGCUAGACACGAAGCUGCUUCCCAAUUUGGGAUUUGGACCUUGUAAUCUAAAACAUAAAAAUCGCUGGCAAUGAGUCGAAUUCAUAUCAUAAUGCGCUCUCCGGGCAGACUAGAAACCGAUUUCUACUAUUUCAAAAAUAAGCCGAUGCUACGGUUAAAGGAAACCUAUGCUGAUGUCCAUUCUCUGAGCCUUAGAAAUCUCACUUUUCGCUUUGAAGGAGUACUGGUCCAGGACAGCUCAACGGCGAGUAGCAUGUCGCUUCGCAACUACGCCUCCAUAGAUGUAACCAUUUUAGAUGAAGAAGAAGCAGGAGAAGAAGAAGAAGAAGCAGAAGAAGAAGCAGAAGAAGAAGAAGCAGGAAAACCAAGCAGCUAUUUUCCUUCUCACUGUCGGCUGCAGUAAAAAUGUUUAAAUUUUUUUUUAAUUUUCUUGCAGUUCUGUUCAACUGCGUAGCCUCUUUCCAUAUUUAAGGAUUGCUUAUAGUAUGCCUUGACCAAGCACUUACCAGACUGACUGACUUAUCUCUCUCUUUCUCUCUCUCGCUCUCAUUCCAAAAACUUCACAGUUCAAGUCAGAAGUACAACAUACAAAGAACAAAGAAAAAACUCCGAAAAUGGAACGAGAUCCACUAAAAGACAUCACCGUCGUGCAGACUGAUAAGAAAAAGACCCAACAGAACACCCAAAAUGGGCAACCAGCCCGCUGAUGCUUCGAGAUCUUUCGAGGAGCUAACUGAUGGGCGGACAAGAGAGUGAGUUUCAGAGCUCCCCUUCCGGAGCUCUUCAAGUUCUUUGACCGUUUGGCUCAGUCUAGGAGUCCGAGGAGUAUUAUCGAUUCAUCACAAAGCUCGCUAUCUCUUGGGAUCUUCAUAUUUAAUUUGGAAAACAGCAGAAUUCCCAAAAAAUACAAAAGCACACACAACACACUAUCGCAAACCGCAAAGAGCAGGAAAUAAACGGUUUCGGAUCUUUGAAUUUUCUUCGAAACGUCAAAAAGUUUCAGACU